GACUGUCCUGCUGCCUAAGGACCUUGCCUGAUGAGCAGGCACUUGAGAUCCUAAUGAGAUCAGGAAUGUCUGCAACAUUAUCUUAUCAAGGUCUCAGGAAUCAUCUCUAUGAAGAUAAAAUGCUUUUCUUUUAUUAAAAUUGUAAUUUCUUUAUUUCUGUAACGUUGCAAACCCUGUCUAAGGGAUUUCCUGUCAGUUCUCUUCUAUACCUUUCUUGCUAUUUCUGUAUUCCUAAUUGAUUAAUAAAUUUGAUGUUAUAUGCACAAA